rnacentral:snRNA from 1 species
AUACUUACCUGGCAGGGGAGAUACCAUGAUCACGAAGGUGGUUUUCCCAGGGCGAGGCUUAUCCAUUGCACUCCGGAUGUGCUGACCCCUGCGAUUUCCCCAAAUGUGGGAAACUCGACUGCAUAAUUUGUGGUAGUGGGGGACUGCGUUCGCUCUUUCCCCUG